rnacentral:lncRNA from 1 species
AUGGGGGAGCCACUGUACCCUCCUAAAGCCUCUCAGCUAAGGUGCUAAUAUUAUUUCCCUGGGGACAGGUGGCUGAAGAAACCUUGAACACAUUGGGAGACCUCUUCUUUCUCUUAAAACCAACAAAGCUGAACUGUCAAUUAUGCUGGUUAAUCAGUCAUGUUCUGAUGAUGAGCAAAGCAGAUGUGAAGCCCUUCUACAUUAUUCAGUGUCUUUCCCGGCUCCUGGAAGCUGUUGCUGCCGGUGAGUGUGGGAGUGUGAAUCUAGCAUCGAAACUGGACGACCUCGUAGUGCUAUUGUCUUCACAGGUGAGCUCUGUGGGAAUCAAGGAAUCUGGGCCCCUUGGGUCUCUGUGAUCCCCACCUAGCCUAUGCCAGGCCUUUUGUGUCAUUCACCACAAUUUUUAUGGUCCUUAGGCCUACCUGACUAGGCAAAUGCAUGAACCCUGUGGAGCAGGACUGGAAUCCUUCCCCAAGCUAGGUUGGACAAAUUCCCAUGAGGCCAGACCAG